UAACUUUCAACAACGGAUCUCUUGGCUCUUGCAUCGAUGAAGAACGCAGCGAAAUGCGAUAAGUAAUGUGAAUUGCAGAAUUCCGUGAAUCAUUAAAUCUUUGAACGCAAAUUGCACUUCUUGGUAUUCCGAGGAGUAUGCUUGCUUGAGGGUUGGUC
rnacentral:rRNA from 3 species